GGUAUUACACCUAUUUAGGGAAACCAUAUGUGCACUCGUGACCUUUUUGUACUUUCAUUUUUAAAAGUUAUAAAUAAACCAGUUCAUACAUUGUAAACAUGGACAAUUCGGAAUGGAUUUAGACACAGAAAGCACGUUUGAGUGUUAACCAUGUUCUGAAGAGCAUUCUGUUGAAAAAUCUUAUAUGUGAAUUGGUCUGCAGAUGACACUUCAACAUUAAA